CGUUGAAACACCAGUUCCCGUACGAACACCAAAGUUAAGCAACAUCGAGUGUGGUCAGUACCUAGAUGGGUAACCAUUUGGAAAUACCAGAUGCUGUAA